CUUACUCCUACGGGAGGCAGCUACUCCUACGGGAGGCAGCAGUCGGGAAUUUUGGGCAAUGGGCGAAAGCCUGACCCAGCAACGCCGCGUGAAGGAUGAAGUUUUUCGGAAUGUAAACUUCGAAAGAAUGGGAAGAAUAAACGGC
rnacentral:rRNA from 1 species